rnacentral:misc_RNA from 1 species
UUUCCGUAGGUGAACCUGCGGAAGGAUCAUUGCAUCGAUCAAACACAAACCGCGAACCAACGUAUCCCCGCAGCCGGUUGCUUUUCUUCUCUGGAAGAAGACGCCGGCUGUGCGCUUGUCCCUGUCCGGCGCCUUUCGGGGUGCCGAGGCAGGUCUGGCGGGCUGGGGAGGCCGCUCUCCUCUAACCGGGAGAGGGCCGAACCCGGCUGGCAAAACCCCCAUCCAAUCCAAAACCCAAGUAUCGCUGAAGAUCUGGAUGGCCGCCCUGUGCGGUCGUCUCCAACCAAAGACAACUCUCAACAACGGAUAUCUUGGCUCCC